GAUGAACGCUGGCGGCGUGCCUAACACAUGCAAGUCGAACGGAGUCCAGCCUUUAAGACCUUCGGGUCAAAGAGGGGAAGACUGAGUGGCGGACGGGUGAGUAACACGUGGGCAACCUGGCUCAUAGAGGGGGAUAACAGAGAGAAAUUUCUGCUAAUACCGCAUAAGCACACACUGCCGCAUGGCAGAGGGUGAAGAGAGAAUCGCUAUGAGAUGGACCCGCGUCUGAUUAGCCAGUUGGCAGGGUAAGAGCCUACCAAAGCGACGAUCAGUAGCUGAGCUGAGAAGAGGAACGGCCACAUUGGGAAUGAGACACGGCCCACAAUGCUACGGAAGGCAGCGGUGGGGGAUAUUGUAGAAUGGGGGGAACCCUGAUGAAGCGGCGCCGCGUGAGAGAAGAAGUAGUUCGGUAUGUAAAGCUCUAUCAGAAGGGAAGAGAAUGACAGUACCUGAUAAAGAAGCCCCGGCUAACUACGUG
rnacentral:rRNA from 1 species